rnacentral:lncRNA from 1 species
UGAAAUUGUCAAGGAAGUUUCAUCCUAUCUUAAGAAGGUGGGAUACAACCCCGACAAAAUUCCUUUCGUUCCCAUCUCUGGGUUCGAAGGUGACAAUAUGAUCGAGAGGUCCACCAACCUGGACUGGUACAAGGGUCCAACCCUACUUGAAGCUCUUGACCAGAUCAAUGAGCCAAAGAGGCCCUCAGACAAACCUCUCCGUCUCCCACUUCAAGACGUAUACAAAAUUGGUGGUAUUGGAACUGUUCCUGUGGGUCGUGUAGAGACUGGUGUCCUCAAGCCUGGUAUGGUGGUGACCUUUGGACCCAGUGGAUUGACAACUGAAAUUAAGUCAGUUGAGAUGCAUCACGAGGCUCUCCAGGAGGCCCUCCCCGGCGACAAUGUUGGAUUUAACGUGAAGAAUGUUGCUGUGAAAGAUUUGAAGAGAGGUUAUGUUGCAUCAAACUCCAAGGAUGAUCCUGCCAAGGAAGCUGCCAACUUCACAUCCCAGGUUAUCAUCAUGAACCACCCUGGCCAGAUUGGAAAUGGAUAUGCUCCAGUUUUGGACUGCCACACCUCCCACAUUGCUGUGAAGUUUGCUGAGAUCUUGACCAAGAUCGAUCGCCGAUCUGGCAAGGAGCUUGAGAAGGAGCCUAAGUUCUUGAAGAAUGGUGAUGCUGGGUUUGUUAAGAUGAUUCCAACCAAGCCCAUGGUUGUCGAGACCUUCUCUGAGUACCCUCCGUUGGGACGUUUUGCUGUGAGGGACAUGCGUCAGACUGUUGCUGUGGGUGUUAUCAAGAGCGUGGAGAAGAAGGACCCGAGUGGUGCUAAGGUUACGAAGUCUGCUGCCAAGAAGGGAGGGAAAUGAAUAUUGCGGUCCACAAAUUCAAUUGAUGCUAUUAAGAACAUUUUAUGCUAUUAUUCCAGUCCUUUAAAAUGUUUAAUUAGUAAUUAUAUUUUGAGUUUUGGGUGUUCAUUUUCCAGUUGCAGUGCCCAGCACUGGGUGCUUGACAGGCGGUGGAGACACAUUUAUUUAAGAAUUUAUGGCAUGGUUUUGUAAUUUUGUUGUAACUGCUUGAGUUUGACAGUUGAUACUGAAUCUCUCAUUUAUACUCGUUUUCCUAUUUCUUCUAGCCUCUCUUUUCUCUUUUGUAUUCGAUAUUGGCCAUUGGUUUCUUUCAUUAAAAUUAUCUGUUGAUAAUUGUUGCUUGUGAAUUCCCCUCUCAACAUUCUGGCAGAGAUGGCGGGCCUCCUGUUCUUAAUGCCAAUAUCGAAUGUAGAGUUUCUUUACUUUUUCAUUCUUUUCCGUUAUUGAUUAAAACUUAAAUCCCCAGUUUAGUAAAGUUUAGAAUCUCUCUUGAUUAUUGAUACAACUCUGAUAAAAUAGACCAUUUCAAGGCGAGCAGACAACCCAUAUGCUUCAGUAUCGACAACCUAUAUGACUGAACCAACACGGCUUACUUGGUUACAUUGUUCAUGGCGUCCUUCUUAAGUAUGGAAUCGAACCAACACCGCGUACUUGGUUACAUUGUUCAUCGCGUCCUUCUUAAAUAUAGAACCGAACCAACACAGCGUAUUUGCUUACAAUGUUCACCGCAUCCUUCUUAAGUACAUCAACUCUUUUAUCCCGCUGUCAAGAUACUACUAAUAAAAAUCCGCAUUCACCAUUUCCUUCUCAAGUAUAUUAACCCAUUUAUCCCAUUAUCAAGACAGUACUACUUAUAAAAUGUAGGCUCAAGGUAAUGAUAUUUCACUCUUUCAAAUACUUUAUUCUAUUCUUCACUUAAUUUUUAAAGUGGUUUCCAGACAUAUGGUCUGGGUCCUUCUCACUGUUGUCUGGGAUCUUCUCACUAUUAUUUUUACAGAUUAUUAGAAGAAGCUCGCUUAUCUCAUAUUGAAAUUUUCUUACUCUUAUCAAUUAUUAUUUAUUCUUAAUUCAUUUUGGCCAAUUAUUAGAAUCCUAGAUGUUGGUCCUCAUCAUGGAUGGAUUAAAUGCAAGCGGAUCGGUUAGGUAUAGUUUUCAUUAAAGAACUAAUAUUGAUCCUUUUAAAUGAAUUUAGAUUUUUUUUUCAAUUCAGUAAAAUUGAUUAUCCCGUGCUAUUUUGAUUUUACGUAUUAGUAUCUAUAAAUAUAAUUAUAUAUUUUUUUAUGACUUUAAUUACUUGAUAUGAGAUUAAUAAAAUGUUUUCAUAGUAACUUGUAAAUAAUAACAUAUAAUAAGAUUUAUAAAACAAAAAGAUACUAGCGAAAGCAAUAAGAAAUUAUAAACCAACAAAAAAGCUGUAGAAAUUAAUUAUUUACUAUUAUUAUAUCUUAGACUUAAUAAAAGAAAAUAAAUUUAUUAUUUUAUUUUAUUAGGAGGAUUAGUUAAAUAAGUUAGUUUAUUAUAUAUAAAUAUAAGUACUGUGGUUCUAUCAUAAAUCGUAUUGAUACAGUUUUAGUUCGAUUAUAUCAUAAAUUAUAAUAGUAAAAAAAUUUCGACAAGGUUCAGUUCGGUAUAAAAAAAUUUCAAUAAAAUAUUUUUUAGAAUAGUUUUUUAAUAUGGAUUGAGAAAACCGAUAUCUAUAAUUAGCCAUACUAGAAGCAAUGUAUUCAUUGAGAGGGUUUGAUAUUGGGACAUGAAGGCUAAAGAGGCAUACUUUACACUCGGUGUAGGAUUUUAUUUCUAUGGGAUGGUGGUUUUAUCGAGUCUUUUUUCUUUCUUUUUUUAUUCGUCACCUCUAUCCAGAAGAAAUUCUCACUUUUAGUUAAUAUGAAUCCUCAUAUUUAUUUAUAAAUUUAUAUUUAAGCUUCCAUUAAAUUUUUACACAUCAAUUAAUUUUAAUUUUAAGGCAAAAUCCAUUGUUUGAUCUCUAAACUUUAUGAAUUUGAUUCGAUCCGCCCUUAUAUUUUAAUGAUAUUUUAAAAUAGUUUACUAUUAACAAGAGAAGGAGAAGGUUUUAAGUAGAUACACCUAAAUUGAGAAAAAUAGCUAAAAAAAUAGAGAAAUGCCACUUAGGAAAGAGAAAAUAUAUGUUAAGACAUUAUUUUCAUAGAUAUAUAAAUUUUCGAUUUUUAACUGUUUGAUUGAUUUUAACCUAAUUAAUGUGGAAAUCGACAUCAUAUGUAAAGGAAAUAAUAAGCAGUGAAGAUUUAGAUCUAAGUUCGUGGCGUUGUAAACAGAUUCACGCUUUAAGCAGCCUGUAGGAGCUUUAAAUGCUCUUGCAGAAUCUGUUUUCCAGCCUAUAAACUUAUAGAUCUGAAAUAAGUUUGAACAGAAGCAAUCAACUAGUUUCUGAUGUGCAGGAUCCUCUUACGAGGCAAGCACAGAGCAUACGCUUGAUGAUGGGGAAAUAAGAAGAUGAUAGAUAAAGAAGAUAAACUUUGAAUUGCUUUAUUAAUAAUAACAGACUUUGAACAUAAACAUAUAAACAACUUUGAAAGCUUUAAAUAAACAUACAAUUUUGUAAAACUUUGAAACAGAAGAAAAUAUAGACUUACAAGAGGAGUUACAAGAUUUCUCUCUCUCUCUUACUCACUCUUUUCACUCUAAUAUCUUCUGUGAGAAUUAGACUCAGGAAGAGCUUUCUUUCUUUCUCUCUUCUAUGUUCUGAAUUCUGAAUUCUAAAUUCUGAAGGAUGAAGAAGGAGGACUCCUCUAUAUAUAGAGGUCUUGGAGUUUUGGAUACUUGUUUUGGAUGCUUUGCUUAGUGGAGUAGAAAUGAUUUCACUUGUCUUUGGAGUCUUGUGGAGAUACUUCACAUGCUUUGGAGUCUUUUGAUAAUGCCCAACCGCCUUUUGAGAAAGUUGUCGGCCAUGCUUUGAAAGAAUCUUUUACUUUUUUUUACUUUUGUCUUUUGUCUUUUCUUUUCUUUUCUUUUUCUUUUUUCUUUUUUCUUUUCUUUUGUGGGCUUUAGUGUGGGCUUUUUGGCCCAACACAAAUAACCUUGGGCUACAAUUUCUGCUUUUUAACCCAUGGGCUUUGAUAAGAUUCAAAUUUCUCUUUUUUGGUUUUUCUAACAAUUUUUGAAUCUUUAGCUUUGAAAAUUAUUCCAGCAGUUGUCACUUUAAAGGGAGUUAUCAAAUUGAUGAACGGAGUCCCUAAGAUAACAGUUUGCUGAAGAUCCUUUGUAAGAAUAAAAACAUUCUUUAAAGCAAUAUUAUUAUUAAGAAUUGCGACUUCAGUUUUACCAGCAAUCUUAAUCUUUGAAGAAUUGGCUGAAGUCAGCCUUUCUUUGGUUUCUUGAUGAAACCUUUUAGGAACCAGUUCGCAGUUGAUACAAUUGAGGUCUGCUCCUGUAUCAAACAACGCGAUGGUUUCUAUCUGGAAAUCACCAGGGAAAAUAAGCUUUUUUUGAAUCAAAUAUUUUCUUGAAGUGAUUUCCUUUAAAACAUUGAUAAAGUUUUCAGGAACAUUUUCAGAAACUUCAAGGUUUUGGAAAUCAUUUUCCUCAUCAGAAUCAGAAUCACUAUUCUGCUUGAGGAUCAGGCUUUGAAGCAAAACAUAAUCAUUUUGUUGUUUUUCUUUCAACUCUUUGAGUUCUGUUUUGAUGGUUUUAAUCUCCUUCUGGAGUUCCUAAACAGUAGGAAGAGGGUUUUUCAACUUCUUCCCUUUGUCCAAAAUCAUAGUAAGAUCAUAAGUAUUCUUACUAGAAGAAGGAACCAGAGAUUCAGUUUUUAAAAUCUCUUUUAAUACUUGCUUUUGGAUAAGAGGAUCACUAAUAUGCUUUACAGCUUCAAGAAGAGCUUCUUGUUGCCUAGUGAGCAUAUUAAUAUUCUUUGAAGAGCUCUCUGAAUCUGUCUCAGAACAAUCAGUUGAGGUUUUGAUUUCAUCUAUUUGAAAUUCUUCCUCACUGUUUGAGAACUCUGAUUCAGAUGAAUCAACUAGAAGAGAAGAAAUCUUUUGCAAAACUUCUUCUUCUAUUUGAAGCUCAUGGAGUCUUUUGGAAAACUUACAAUACUUCGAAGUAUGGCCUUUCUUACCACAUUUGAAGCAUGUAAUUUUUGAAAAAUCCUUUUUUGAAUCUUUCUUUGGAAAUUUAGAAUGAAAUUUGGAAGAAGAUGGUUUUUUAUAGAAAUUCUCCUUGCUUUUUAAAGGCUUUCUAUAUUUUGAAAAUUGUUUCUUUUUGAAAGAUUUUGAAUAAGAAUCAACUUUGCAUUUCCCUUUGCAACUAGACACGGGCUCUAUUGGGUUGUACUCAAACUGGUUACAGAAACUACCUAGUUCCUGCCUAGUCUUUUUCAUCUCCCAUUUGAGCUGUCUUUGAAGCUUAAGGUCAUGACAAAUCUUUAAACCUUCUUUCUGGGUUAGGCUAACUAACUCACCAUAAGUGUAGAAAUCAUAAGGGAUUUGACCGUUAUGGGCUUCUCUUAUGGUAUUCCUAACUCUUUCACCUAAAAUCUUAGGUAAACCGGCUAAGAACUUUUCUUUCCAGAAAGGUUGGCUAGAAUCUUCCCUAAGCAUGACUCUGGUUAGGAAAGUGUCUUUGUAACUUUGAAAAUUGUUAAGCUUCUUACAGGUAAGAUUGCUAAGGAGCUCGGUAUUUUUGUCUUUGAGCAGAGAAGGGUCUCCUAUGAAAUGUAGGAAAAUAGUGAGGAUUAGGGUUGAAACCGCAUCCUCAAUUGGAUUUCCUAUUUCAUCUAGGAUUGGAGUUCCUUCUACUGUUGUUUGGAUAGCACCUAGGAUUUGGAGUUGAUGUGCUUGAGUGAGAUGAUAAUCCCACCAUCCUUUUAACUGGCCAGAAAAUCCAGCUAUCAGGAGCUCAGCAAUGGCUCUAUCGGAGGUACCACUUUGGGUUUUGUAGGCAUUGGCUGCCAUGGUCAUCUGUUGUAAGAGACCAAGGAUGUUGUACUCAGACAUUCCAUCUAUAUUCCAUUCAUAGACGGAGGAGGCAUUGAAUCUAGACUGGGUUAGGAUGUUAUUCCUAUUCUCAAUUCCUAGAUCUGGAGCAGUACUCCUAGGAGUAUUCCAGGUUAAUCUAGGGGCUUGGAUUCCCAAUCUGUUGAUGUUGAAGGGUUUUGGAAUGAGGCUUUCAAGCUCUGAAUCAUUUGACUCAUCGCUUUGGGCUUGUCCUAUUGCACUGAUAUUCCUACUACUUUGGGGAGUAUCUGGCACUAGAUUUUUGGACGACUCAGAGGUUGCUAAUCUACUCAGCUGUUCUCUGACUGCUUUGGCAAACUCAGUUUGCUUUUGGAAAUGGUCUUGGCUUGGCUUUGUAAGCUGAUAUGGCUUAAAAACUGGAUUUUUAAGCUUUUCUGACUGGUUCGACUCUUUUGGUUGACCAGUACUGGGGAGUGGAGAAGUCACCACUACAGGGGGCUUUUGAAUCUGGUUUUCUAUUCUAACCAGUUGCUUUCCUAUAGUGUUUAGACAGGUGUUCGAAUAAUUGUUCUGCUGAACAAUAUUCUUGACAUUCUUUUCAAGGUCUUCGCCUACCAAUUUGUAAGGUGUAGCCUCUAUCUCACUUUCUCCAUAAGGAAUGGUUAUCUUCCUAAGGGGAGGAUGUUCAGACUGGACAGUUAGGUUUUCUCCUACCUUCCACUCAGGGGCUUUGUUCCUUACUGUGACAGGACUAAUGGACUUAUCCUUGAAGGGAUAAAGGAUACCAUUUUCUUUGCAGUAAAUUUGAAACCAAUCAAAAAAUUUGAUUUGGGCUUUGUUUUGAGUACAAAAUUGAUAGUAUUUUUCUUGAAUACUAUCUUUUUCUUUUAAAAAAUUCUUAAAAAACUAAAGUUUCUUAAGAUGGUUUUUCUUUGAAUAGAAAUCUUCAUGCAAGAGUUUUUUAUCAAUUUCAAACUCUUUUGAAAUCAUGUUGAUCUCUGCUUCAAGGUUUUGGGUAAUGGCUGAUGGUGAUGGUGAAGAUGGGGUAGAGGUUAUCUCUAUAUCUUCGUCAUCAUUCUUUGGAUCAGUGUAGACUGGUCUGGGGAUAUUGCUUUGGUAAUCAACAUUCUGGAGUGUUUUUGGAAUAUCAGAUGUUGAAAAUCUGGGUUGUGUUUGGGAUGGAAUCUGUUCUUUGUAAGGGGCACAGAUAACAGAAGGAAUUUUGGAUACCCUUCCAAUAUCUAUGGUCGAGGUUGAAGAACCAUCAUCAGAAAAUCUAAAGGAAGUUGACUUUCUGUUGAAUGUGAUCUUUACCUUUCCAUCUGGAUAUUGGGCUAUGUGUUUAAGGUUUGUGUUUGGUUCUGUUUGCUUUGGAGAAGUAGGUUGGGUUGCACCUUCGAGGAUCCAUUCUUCUGGAAGUGUAAUGUCUUUCCAUUGAAUGGUCUUUGGAAUGGUUGUAUUUGAUUUGGAUAGAUCUGUUUGAAGGAACAGGGUUUCUCCUUUUGGUGAGUGUAGCUUGUGUUUGGAAUCAAAGGCAGAAAUCAUAGCUUUGUAAUGAAUUUUAAAAAUUAAUGCUAUCGGAAUAGAUCCUUCAAGCAUUUUGUAAUUGUGAGCUUUUAUUUGAAGAACGAUGCUCUUUAAAACAUUUUUAUCGUUUAAAGAAAUCGUGAUAUUUGGAAAACAAUUGAAAGAAAUAGGUCCUUUAUUGAGGCUCGACUCAACAGUACCUAACAGGGAAUCAUAGAAAUUUGUAAACCUAGCAUCCCUAAGGACGGCUAAUAUGGAAGUAUCUAGACCUUCUCUGGUAAGGGGCUUAAUACCUACCUGGACUAGACCUAUGUGGAUAUACUUAUAAUCCUUUUCCAUAUGCUUUUGGAGGGUCUUUGGAUUUAAGAGAUAAAUCUCUUCAAAAGGUUUUGAAAUUUGGAUAUCUCUUUCUUCAGUCUUGAUUGUAAAAUCAGUCUUGAAGAGAGGGAACUUUGAAAACUCAUAAAUUUGUUUCUUUUGGACUUUGGGUAUUUCCCAAUCGUCAAUAUGCUUUGAAAAAUCUUCAAUAGUGAUUUCUUCACUAUUUACUAGACCUUUGUACCUCGAUGAUUCAGAGGCAGAAGAAUUUGAGAAAGAAGAAGAUCUACAGAAGAAAGGUUCUAAAUUCAUUUUAUCCUAAACCAAAAUAUCUUUCUAGACAAGCCUAGACCACAGCUCUCAGCUUUAUUGCCCUGUCUGUCGGGUCUUACUACUGCGCAUAAAAUGAACAGAACUUGCCUAUAGGAAACCUGAUGCAGUCUAAAAUGAAUUUAAAAUCUUUAUAAUGUAGAUAUGCUUCUAAUCCCGGAACCCAAGUGGCUCUGAUACCAAAAUUAGAACGAGAUCUAGGAAAUAGAAGGAAAUAAUAAGCAGUGAAGAUUUAGAUCUAAGUUCGUGGCGUUGUAACCAGAUUCACGCUUUAAGCAGCCUGUAGGAGCUUUAAAUGCUCUUGCAGAAUCUGUUUUCCAGCCUAUAAACUUAUAGAUCUGAAAUAAGUUUGAACAGAAGCAAUCAGCAAGUUUCUGAUGUGCAGGAUCCUCUUACGAGGCAAGCACAGAGCAUACGCUUGAUGAUGGGGAAAGAAGAAGAAGAUAGAUAAAGAAGAUAAACUUUGAAUUACUUUAUUGAUAAUAACAGACUUUGAACAUAAACAUAUAAACAACUUUGAAAGCUUUAAAUAAACAUACAACUUUGUAAAACUUUGAAACAGAAGAAAAUAUAGACUUACAAGAGGAGUUACAAGAUUUCUCUCUCUUUCUUACUCACUCUUUUCACUCUAAUAUCUUCUGUGAGAAUUAGACUCAGGAAGAGCUUUCUUUCUUUCUCUCUUCUAUGUUCUGAAUUCUGAAUUCUAAAUUCUGAAGGAUGAAGAAGGAGGACUCCUCUAUAUAUAGAGGUCUUGGAGCUUUGGAUACUUGUUUUGGAUGCUUUGCUUAGUGGAGUAGAAAUGAUUCCACUUGUCUUUGGAGUCUUGUGGAGAUACUUCACAUGCUUUGGGGUCUUUUGGCAUUAAUUAACGAGAAAAAUCAUAUUUAUGAGAACUCUAAAUCUACAAGUUAUAUACAUGUCAGUAAAUUAAGUAGCUACAAAAGAUAACUGAUUUCAAUGAAUACAAAAUAUUACAUAAAUUAACUUGCAAACCAUCAUGGAAUUCAUGUAUGUGAGACAACGACAAACAAACUCAUAACAAAAAAUUGAUUGGUAUUCAUUAGAAAAAAGAUUAGAUUAGAGCAAAGAAUGAAUUUGAUUGAUUGCCCUUAAUGGACUCCAUGCAUACAUGUAAGUUGAAGACUGCUUCAAACUCACAUUUGAGCCUUCAUGCCUAUACUAAUUCAAGAUGCUUUAACUAUAAAAUAAGGGUUAAACAAGAUAUUGGAACACAUAACUUCCUCAAUUCUUUUCUGACAGAUAUAAAGUCAAGUAAAUAAAAAAACUAUUCGAAGCGUCUUUCUUGCUUUGACCAGUUGAGUUAUUCUUAUUUAGGCUUCUCAUCUUCGUUAUCUCAUCCAGAAAACUAGUCUUCCCUUUCCAGCAGUUGCCAGCUAUCUAGUUUCAGGCCUAGUUUCUCUCAUUGAUAUAGUUUUUGUGGCAGUUGCUAGCAGCCCGUUGAUAUUGGAACACAUAACUUCCUCAAGAAGGAAUCUUAUUUAUUUCUCUGGGGCCUUAAUGUUGGACAUAGUUUUAUUAAAACAUAAUUGACUUAAAACUAGCAAAAAAUUGAUAGAUUGAAGGAGUAAAAGAUUAAACUUGAACUAUGCGGGAUUUUUAACAUUGCACAAAAUUAUAUUAUGAAGAAAAAGAAAGAAAGAAAAAGAAAAAUUUACAUAAAUAUGGGAAUUCCACAAAAUAAGUUGACUUGAGUAGCUUACUACUAAUCUAAAGAAAGAUGCAAAUAAGAUUUAAAUGCAUCAUCUGUGAAAACCUAAGCAAUCAUAUUCACUAACCACAACUAAUGGAACAAUAGUUAUUAAAUGAGAAUUUGUUAACUCAUAACCAGUGUACAUUUGUAAUGACUGGAAACUAUUAUAUUUCAUGUUAUUUCACCCUUUGAAAUAUAGCAUCAUUUAGUCCUUUUGUGGCAUUUAAAGGUCCUUUAUAGCUAUGUAAUACAAAAGUGGAAAAACAGAUUAUUUACUCAUUCAGAAAUUAGCUUUUCUUAGAACUUCCUAUAUUGUUAUUUCAAAUUCAUAUCUUUUAGGAGGUUUGUGCACUCUUGGCUUUCUAAGAUCAAGAUCCUACAUGAAGCAAUGCAUUGCAGUGGUAGGUGAGAUAGUCAUGACCAUAAAAUGUUAUAAUGAUUGCAAAAUGACUCUUGCAUUGAUCAAAUACUAAAAAAAAUGAUACAAUUAGAAAAAUCUUCAUUAAUUUGCUGGGUUAGAAGCUAAGGAAAACACAACCCAUACAAGAUUGUAAAACAAGCCUUUUUUUUUUCAUAAGAAUAAUAUAUUCCAUACGGGCUCUAAUCUUUAAAAGCAAUUUGUAAAUAAUAGGAAACUGAAGGAAAUCAUCCGCAUGUUUCUCAUUGAUUUUAGUUCAUAAUAUACUAGUGUACAAGCUAAUCAUAAGGCUACAAUCUAGGCUACAAAUAAAGUAAUUAUCAUAGGAUAUAUAUUACAAAAGAUAGAUGCUAAUGUAGAUAAGACAUAUAAAGAUUAUUUUACAUAAUCUAAUAAAUCUAACACACCCCUGCAGUUAAAACAGGAGGUUGACGGACGCUGAGACUGUCCCAAAAAUCAUCAAAGAGUAUGCAUGGAAGCCCUUUAGUAAAAAUAUCUGAAAUUUGAUAACGAGAUGGGAUAUGAAGAACUCGAACUUGUCCAUGUGCUACUUUCUCGCGGACAAAAUGUAUAUCCAUCUCGAUAUGCUUAGUGCGCUGAUGUUUUACGGGGUUACCAGAAAGGUAAAUGGCACUAACAUUAUCACAGUAAACUAAUGUAGCCUUUGGAACUGGAAAAUGCAACUCCAAGAGAAGGUUUCGAAUCUAGCAAGAUUCAAAAACAACAUUAGCGACCCCUUUGUAGUCGGCUUCAGCAUUAGACCGAGAGAGUGUGGGUUGUCUUUUAGAGGACCAGGAUAUCAAAUUGUUUCCAAAAGAUACACAAUAACCGGAGGUGGAUCGUUGGGUAUUUGGGCAUCCACCCCAAUCAACAUCAGUAUAAGAGAUGAGACCAGAAACUGAGGACUUGUAGAGAUGUAAGCCAUAAUCAAGAGUACCCUGAAUGUAGCGUAGAAUUCGUUUUAGAGCAAUCAUAUGUUCAUCCUUCUGGUCACGCAUAUGUAAACUAACUUGUUGUACAGCAUAGGAUAUAUCUGGUCUCGUGAAAGUAAGGUGCUGCAAUACUCUAGCUAGACUACGAUAGUGGGAUGGAUCUUUAUAAGGAAAUCCUGUUGAUGUACUCAACUUAGCCUCCGUAUCAACCGGUGUGGGAAUUGGCUUGCAAGAUGUCAUACCUGCUCGAUCAAUAAUCUCCUCUGCAUAUUUUCUUUGAUAAAGAAAUAACCCACCGGCAUGUCGGGUGACUGCAAUGCCUAAAAAAUAGCUCAAAGGGCCCAAAUCUUUCAUAGCAAAUUCAGAAGCAAGAAGUGACAUGAUAGAUUGUCGAAGAUUAUCAGAGGAUGCAAUGAGAAUGAUGUCGUCAAUGUAAAGUAGUAUGUAAGCCAUGUCAUUUCCUUUCCGAUAAAUAAAUCAAGAUUAAUCACAUUUGCUAUGUGAGAAUCCAAUAGCAGAGACAAAAUCAGCAAACCGUUGAUACCACGCACGAGGAGCCUGUUUAAGGCCAUAUAAUGAUUUUUGAAGCAAGCACACAUAAUCUGGAUGUACUGGAUCUCUGAAUCCCAUAGGGUGAUGCAUAUAAACGGUCUCCUGAAGCUAACCAUGUAGAAAAACAUUUUUGACAUCCAGCUGAUGAAUGGGCCAUGAUUUUGAUAGAGUAAGAUUAAGGACAGCCCGAAUAGUAGCAGGCUUCACCACCGAGGUAAAAGUUUCAUCACAAUCGACACCAACCUGUUGAAACCUGUCAUUACCAAUAAGACGGGCUUUGUGCCUCUCAAAAGAACCAUCAAAAUUCUUUUUAAGACGAAAAAUCCACAUAGAACGAAUAACAUUCACAUUAGGAGGAUGGGAUACCAAAUCCCACGUAUUAUUUUAAAUAAGAGCAUUAAAUUCAUCGGUCAUGGCAGCUUUCCAAUUCGGGUUGGACAAGGCAGCUUCGGGGUUACGAGAUAAAGGGGAAGGUGUAGCCGAAAUGGUCAUAUUAAAGUGACAUUUAGGCUUAAAUAUCCCAUGCAUGCUGUGGGUGGACAUGGUCUGAGAGGUGGUUUGGACAGGUGGGGUUUGAUGUGAGCUUGGGGGUAUAUGGGCUGGUAUGAUAAUAGAGGAGCACUGGGUAAGAGAGGGUUGAGGUGAGUUAAGUGGCUGAGUGGGUGGUUGAGGAGAUGCUAAGCCAGGAGAGGGAUGGACCGUAAGAGAGAAAAUGGGCUCCGAUUGUGGAUGGACUGGAGAAGGGUGAUUUUGAAGAUGAUGGUGUAAGAGAGGGUGCAAGCCAUCAUUUGAAAAAUCAUAGGUGUUAGAGGUUGGAGUAUACUGGUUGGAAAAAGAGAAUUGGGACUCAUCGAAGAUGAAAUGUCGAGAUAUGAUAAUUCUUUCAUUAGACAAGUCAUAACACUUAUAUCCCCUAUGGUUAGGUGGGUAGCCUAAAAAGACACAUGGAGUGGAACGAGCAUGAAGUUUAUUUAUAGUAGUUAAGUGAAAAAGAGGAUAACAUAAGCACCCGAAAACUCGUAUAUUUAUAUGAAGUAUUCCGAUGAUAGAGAAUUUGAGUGGGGGAGUAGUAGGAAAGUAGCUUGCUUGGGAGAAUGUUUAAAAGAUAAGUUGCCAUUUGGAGAGCAUGAUGCCAAAAUGAUGGUGGCAUAGAGGAGUGAGCAAGAAGGGUUCGAAUCAAAUUAUUGAUGACUCGAAUUUAAUGUUCGGCUUUUCCAUUUUGAGGAGAAGUAUGAGGACAGGAGUAACGAAAGGCCAUCCCAUUUUUAUGACAAAAGGACUUAAAUUGGACAUUAUCAUAUUCCCGCCCAUUAUCGUAUUGAAAGCAUUUGAUAUUCUUCUUAAAUUAAGUGCGGAUGAAUGCACUAACAGGCAAGAAAAUGGAAUAGACUUGGGACUUCUUGCCAAUAAGGAAUGUCCAUAGAAAAUUAGAGUAAUUAUCUAAAAGCAAAAUGUAAUAUUUAUGACCUAAUGGACUUAAAAUAGGCAAUGUCCACAAAUCAUUAUGCAAAAUAUCAAAAAGCAUUGUAGUGGAAGAAAAAGAGUCCUAAAAUGGUAACUUGACAUGUUUCCCAAUAACACAAGAUGGACAAACUGAGGAGCAAGAAGAGUGUUUACAAGUAAUAAAAUUAUUAUUCUGAAGGGAGCAUAAAAUAGGUGUUUCUGGGUGUCCUAAACAAUUAUGCCAUAUAACUGGAGAAAGAGCUGCAAAGGUGGAUGAAGAGGUGGAGUGAUGGGUUGUGGUAGUGGCGAGAGGAUAGAGAUCCCCAGUGCUAUUACAUUUCAUUAUUGGCAUCCCUGUCUGAAAGUGCUUCACAGAAAACCCAAAAGGAUCAAAUUCAAUAGAAACAUUAUUGUCGAUUGUGAAACGACGCACAUAUAUUAAGUUUUUAAUGAGUUUAGGUGCAUGAAGGACAUUAUUUAAAUAUAAAGGGGGAUGAGGAGGAAGGAGGUUCGUUUGUCCAAAACCAUGAAUUGGAAUUUCUUGUCCACUACCAACAAUAAUAUUUCUGGCAUUGCUCAUAUUAAAAUAAGACGAGAGAGUACUUGGAGAUGUCGUCAUGUGUGAGGUUGCGCCAAUGUCCAUGUACCAAUUCUCAUAAGGAGUAUUAAGAGUCAUAGUAUGCAUUGCUUGUUCAAUUUCAGUUGGAGAAUAACUGAAAGGAGGUGGGACAUAGGCUGUAUAAGCUUGUUGUGGACGAUUGCCAAGAAUACCAGGCUGACGAGUAGGUGGUGGCCUAGCCCAAGAUGAGGUAGGGUAUGGACACGGAGGGGCUGCCCAAGGCUAUGAUGCCUAACCCCAUGGUGGAUAUUAUCCCCACUGUUGUGACUGCUGCUGCCAUAUUCUCUGUUGUGAUAGCUGCGUGUGGGUGCCACCACUGGCAUGAUUGUGGCCACCACGACUACGCCCUCUACCACCAUUAUUUUUGCCCCGAUUGUUAGUGCGAUGCUGACCAUGUUUCUGACUAUUAUGAUGCAGUUUGUUGCAUUACGCAAGCCAAAAUAUGAACCCUUGGAUUCAUUGAUAGAAUUGUUGGCACUAAGGAGGGUUGUACCUAUAGCAUUGGCAGUGGCCGUGGUUUGCUUGGCCUUACGGGUUUCUUCGAGAAUUAAUCUCGAACGAGCCUCACAGAAUGGAGGCAAAGGAUUACUUUAUUGAAUGAAUGUAGCAACACCAUCAUAAUUUUUAUUUAAACCCGUAAUUAAUUGAAGAACUAACCGUUGAUUCGAUACUAGUGCACCAACAUUUGAUAGUUGAUAGACAAGCAUUUUGAGUUCUUGACAAUAGGCAUAGAUGUUUGCAAAAUUGUCCAGAUGGACAUGAGUGAAUUGAUUUACUAGAUAGAUAGCUCGGGAAUUCUUGUUGUCUUGAAAAAUAUUUUGCAAUCGCUCCCAUGCUUGUUGAGUAGUAGAAUCCGAUUCUAAGAUAGUUUGCAAGAGAUCAUUUGAGAUUGUGCCAUAAAUCCAUUGAAGAACUAUAGCAUCCAAGCGUGACGAGAGUUCUUCAUCACGUGCCACCGCCUUCUCCUUGGUUGUCUCAGUGGUCCGUUGUGUAGGGGGGAUGAUGUGUCUUAGAGGAUGUUUUAGUGCAAGUGAAUGAAUUGGUAUUUCCUGCAGACUUUUAUGUACUUGACAUGGAAGAAGAUAAUUCUCCUAACUCAACGUCAAUUUUGUUAGGAAGACCAUUUCUUAAAACUUCAAAAAUAAAAAUUGAUGUACAUGAUGGCACACUUAGCAUGGAAUUUGAUAAUGAGAUCAUAAAAUUUAAUAUCUAUGAUGCCAUGAGAUAUCCUAGUGAUGUAUCCUCAGUUUUUGUUUUAGAUGGGAUUGACGCUCUAGCGCAGGAAACUUUUGAGUUGGAACAUGAAGACAAGUUGCAAGUUACACUCACCAACAACCUCAAUCCAAAAGAACUUCUACACCUUGAAGCACUUUAUGUGAUAUAUUCGCCUCUACAAGACACCAUUUUUGCAUUGGAUGCACUCAAGCUUGUGAGAAAUAAUGUUGCUUAUAUUGAUUUAUCUUAUUCUUAUAAAAGGCUUAUUUCUUCUAUCAUACGGGCACCAAAGUUAGAAUUGAAAGCUCUACCUAGCCAUCUAAAGUAUGUAUUUUUAGGAGAAAAUGAAUCCUUGCCGGUUAUCAUAUCUAAUAAACUCACUACUUUGGAAGAAGAGGUGUUGAUUCGGGUACAUAGAGAGUACAAAGAAGCAAUUGGGUGGACUAUAGCUGAUAUCAAAGGAUUGAGCCCCUCUUUAUAUAUGCAUAGAAUACUUUUAAAAGAGGAGAGCAAGCCAUCUAGAGAAGCCCAACGCCGACUAAACCCUCCUAUGAUGGAAGUGGUAAAGAAAGAAAUUAUGAAACUUCUUGAUGCAGGUAAGAUCUACCCAAUUUCUGAUAGCAAAUGGGUAAGUCCAAUUCAAGUUGUCCCAAAGAAAACAGGUAUAACAGUUGUAGAGAAUUCAGACGGUGAGUCAGUUCCAAUCCGCAUUCAAAAUGGGUAGAGAGUUUGUAUAGAUUAUAGAAAAUUAAAUACUUCAACUCGGAAAGAUCAUUUUUCUCUCCCAUUUAUUGAUCAAAUGCUUGAGCGUUUAGCCGGUCGUUCUCACUUUUGUUGUCUUGAUGGUCAAUCAGGUUUUCACCAAGUUCCGGUGGCACCCGAAGACCAAGAAAAGACAACUUUCACUUGUCCAUUUGGGACCUUUGCAUAUCGACGAAUGCCGUUUGGUCUUUGUAAUACACCCGCAACCUUCCAAAGGUGUAUGGUUAGUAUAUUUUCAGAUUAUGUAGAGAAUAUCAUAUAAGUUUUUAUGGAUGAUUUUACGGUCUAUGGUAAUUCUUUUAAUAAAUGUUUGGCUAAUCUUACUAAAAUUCUUAAGCGGUGCAUAGAAACAAACCUGAUUUUAAAUUAUAAAAAGUGUCACUUCAUGGUUGACCAAGGUCUUAUUCUAGGUCAUGUUGUGUCAUCUAGAGGAAUUGAAGUUGAUAAAUCUAAGAUAGAUGUGAUCAAAUCCUUGCCUUACCCCGCUAGUGUGCGGGAAGUUCGUUCUUUUCUUGGUCAUGCAAGAUUCUAUCGACGUUUUAUCAAGGAUUUUUCGAAAGUAGCUCAACCAUUGUGUCGCUUACUACAAAAGGAUGUUGAGUUUGUACUCGAUGAGUCAUGCAAGGAGGCAUUUGAUAAAUUGAAAGAUGCGCUAACUUCAGCACCAAUUAUUCAACCACCAGAUUGGACCCUUCCGUUUGAGAUCAUGUGCAACGCUAGCAACCAUGUCAUGGGUGCCGUCCUUGGGCAAAGAGUAGGAAGUGCUCCACAUGUCAUUUAAUACGCCUCAAGAUCACUAGACAAUGCACAAUGCAACUACACAACAACGAAAAAAGAACUUUUAGCCAUUGUUUUUGCUUUAGAGAAAUUUCGCUCAUAUUUACUUGGAACUAACGUGAUUGUUUACUCUGAUCAUGCAGCUCUCAAGUAUUUGCUUUCCAAGAAGGACGCAAAGCCAAGGCUUAUUCGUUGGAUACUCUUACUACAAGAGUUCAACUUGACAAUAAAAGACAAGAAAGGAAUAAAGAAUUUGGUCGUGGAUCACCUUAGUCGCUUAAUCACAAAUGAAGAGCCAUCACCUUUGAAGGAUGAAUUUUCAGAUGAGCACCUCUUUUCUAUUCAUAAUUCUAUUCCUUGGUUUGCCGAUUUAGUUAACUACUUAGUUACUAGAACGCUACCAAAUGAUUUAUCUAAGGCUCAAAAGGAUCGAAUUAAGAGUGAUGCCAUAUAUUAUAUAUGGGAUGAUCCUUACUUGUGGAAAUUUUGCUCUGAUCAAAUCAUUAGAAGAUGUGUGUCACAACAUGAAGUUGCAUCCAUUCUAACAUUUUUUCAUUCAUAUGCAUGUGGAGGGCACUUUGGCCCCAAAAGAACGGCUCGUAAGGUGUUAGAAUGUGGAUUAUUUUGGCCCAAUUUAUUUCGUGAUUCAUACAUGUUUUGUAAAGCAUGCGAAAAUUGUCAAAAGACGGGAAACUUAGGACAUAGAGACCAAAUGCCCCUUACCUCCAUUCUUAUUUGUAAAAUAUUUGAUGUUUGGGGCAUAGAUUUCAUGGGCCCUUUUCCUCCUUCCAAUGGCAAUAUUUACAUACUUCUUGCUGUGGAUUAUGUUUCGAAGUGGGUAAUGGCAAAAGCUACUCGGACUAAUGAUUCUAAACUUGUUGUAGAUUUUUUUAAGUCUCAGAUUUUCUCAACAUUUGGCACAUCGAGAGCUUUGAUUAGUGAUCGUGGCACUCAUUUUUGCAAUAGAGUGGUUGAAGCCUUAUUGAAAAAGUACAAUGUCACACAUCGUACUUCUACAGCCUAUCACCCGCAAAUAAGUGGGCAAGCGGAAGUCUCCAAUAGAGAAAUCAAAUCAAUCCUUGAAAAAGUUAUCAAUCCUAAUAGGAAAGAUUGGAGUGCACGACUUGAAGAUGCGCUAUGGUCAUAUAGAAUGACUUAUAAAACCCCUAUAGGUAUGUCCCCUUAUCGUCUAAUCUUUGGGAAGCCAUGUCACCUCCCGGUUGAAUUGGAACAUAAAGCAUAUUGGGCUGUCAAGCAAUGCAAUAUGGAGAUGGAUGAAGCUGGUUCACAAAGAAGAUUGCAACUACAAGAGCUAGAAGAAAUUCGUCUAGAUGCAUAUGAGAAUGCACGAAUUUACAAAGAAAAGACAAAGAAAUUUCAUGAUAAUAUGAUUUCUAGAAAGAGCUUUUGUACCGGAUAAAAAGUUAUUCUCUACAAUUCUAGACUCAAAUUAUUUCCAGGUAAGUUGCGUUCUAGAUGGAGUGGUCCUUUUACUGUCACUAAUAUUUUUUCUCAUAGUGCAGUAGAAAUUGAAAGCCAAGACACUAAAAAGAUGUUCAAAGUUAAUGGUCAACGUUUAAAACCUUUCUAUGAGGGAUUUUAACUUGAUAAUAUUGCAGAAAUUAACUUGAAGUGUCCAAGUUAUACAUAGCGUGCAGCCAUGUCUAGCCGGAGACAUUAAAUAAAGGCGCCUUUUGGGAGGCAACCCAAAUUUACUUUUUAGUUUAUUUUAUUUUCUUGUCCUUUUGCAGUUUUAUAGUUAAUUUUCGUGCUUCCUUACUAAAUUUUUUUUUAUGAGUUUUGGGGCAGAAAAGAACUAUGUUUAAAGCGCGGGCACGCUACAUUUCGAGUUAACAUAAAGAUAACAGAGUGUGCCCACGCUCUAUCAGAGAAGAUCUUCUACUCCAAAUUCUAAAGAAUUGAUAAAAAAAAAUUCAAAAAAAUAAAAUAUUAAUAAAAAAAAUUUCCAAAAAAAAGAAGAAAAAAAUUAAUCACCAAUUUUUAUUUUUUUUCAUCAAAAUUUCUUUUACCCUAAUAUUUUCUGCAGCCACGCCUCCUCACCAGCAGCAGCCCGCCGCACCAACCAGCCGACCACGUGCAGCCACAACCAGCGUCGCCCAGCUCACACAACGUCUAGCAGCUUCUCGUCCUAGUCAGCGCCUUGCAUCGCAGCACGUCACCCAACGCCCAGCUCCCACAGCCAACAUCGCAUAGUCCCGCAGAGCACAGCGCAGCGCCCACCAAUGCAGCGCAGUCUCGCCCAGCUCGCACAGCGCCUCGCAGUCUCGUCCCAACCAGCCUCACCAGCAGCAGUGUGUUCUUCUCGUUUGUCCUCCUUCUUUAUAAAAAAAUCAGUCCAAUGGUUAAGAAAAAGACGGUUCACAAGCCAAAGUUAAAGGCAACUCCACAACAACUGCGCAAGGCCAAACCAAAUGCUUCAAGCUCACUAACACGAAUUGGAAAAGGGAUGCAUAUUUUGCCCCCAUCCGAAAUUGAAUUGUAAGAAAAUUUGAUAUUCGGUAAGCAAGUCCACAAAGAAAGGUAUAAAUUUUUCUCUCAGCAAUCUAUUAUUCCUUGCAAAUAUAUUGAUUGUUUGGCUUUAGAAAAAUUGAAUAUUAAAGAAGAUGUGGAUGAAUACAUUGAUAAUAUUAGAUGGCAAACAUACUUUUCAAUUAAUUAUCCAUGUUAUAUUGAACUUGUGCGUGAGUUUUACACUACUUUUGAGUUUGACAAAAAAUUGAUAUUAAUUUGAACAUUCCAGGUGUAGUGUAUUUUAGGUUGUUGGGUAGGGAGUUCAAACUCUCUAUCACACAAUUUAAUCUUGCCUUUGAUUUUAUCACAGAUGAUUAUGCUAAAAGUGAUGAAUAUGCGAAAUCUGUUUGUGAUUUUUUACCUGCAUUUGAACCAGUUCCUUUGUAUAAGCAAAUGUCUAUAGGCGUCAGAUAUAACCCUAGUAAGUCACAAGCUAGUUAUCUAUAAGACCAAGCCUUGAAAUAUAUUCAUAGGUUUCUAGCUUUCACUUUUUCAGGAAGAAAAGAUAAUUCUGGCAUACUUUCAAAAACUGAGUUCUUUUUCUUGUGGUGCAUGCAAAAUGGAAUUAAAGUGAACCUUGGAUAUUGGAUGGCUUUUCAAAUUGACAAUGUUAUUGUGAAGAAACGUCCUAAGAUUCUAGGUUCUUUGAUUACUCAAUUGGCUAUACACAUAAAUUUGCUCGAUAUUGAUAAUAAUGCCUUGCAUGUUGCUUGUAAUAUGCACCCUUUGGAUAUAAAAUGCUUAAUGAGUAUGGGUUUAAUGUGGAAGAAGGAAGGUGCGCCUUGUUUUCAGUCUAUAGGUCCUAUCGCGAAGAACAUUUCAAAGCAAAAACUCCGUCAGGAUGAGAAUGAGGAGGAGAAUUUAAUUUCCAAUGAUGAACCAUCUUCUCCUGGAUCAUCCUCCCAAGGGCGAUAUACUGAACAACUCCAAUGCCUUGAACAACGGCAAAUAGAAAUGGAAUUAAACUUGAUGGCUUUCUUCAAGCACAUGGGUUUUGCUCCACCAUAUCCACCUCACUGCUAAACAUUUUCGGUAUGCCUAACAUACUCAGGGAAGUUUCACCAUUCCUAUCUUUUAUUUCCAAUUUGAUAUGUUAGGCAUUAUAUAAAUACAUUAGGAACAAUGUAUGAGAUAAGUGUAGGGUGUUUAUAGGCUGUUUUUGGGCAUUGUACAUGCAUGUUAAAUUUUUUUUUGGGUAUUGUUUUAUGAUUGUGACUUAUGAAUCCAUGAUUUAAAUUGUUGAGAAUUGCUUGAUUGAGUUAAAAUAUAAUAAGAGAUUUGCAUAAAUAAUUGAGUUUUUAUGUGUUGCAUUGUGAGUAUUAUUUUUAUAAUUGAUUUGAAUGAAAAAGUGCAUAGAACUUAACACACAAUCACUUUUUGUGAGCUUUUGAGCCUAAGAGCAUUCAUCACAAUAUGCUCCAUAUUUUUCUUGAUUGUGUGAUUGUCAUGUGUAAAUUGAUUUUUCCAGAACUUGCUUUGUUAUACAUAUUAAGGUCACAUUAAUGGAUUGAAUGCAUUAAUAUGAUAAGGGCAAUUAGGGAUAACCAAUUUGAACGUCUAAAAAACUACCCUGACUUUAUCCCUAGCGAGCCGAUAUUGAACCUUAAACCCUUUCUUUGUUUAUUAAUUCCCAUUUAACCCGUUAUAGCCUUUUCUUUCAUUUCACCUCUUUUGUAACCUAAGUUGAAGGAUUUUGUGAAUUUAUAUGCAUGAAACUUUUGGAUGAUUAUUAGGACUUCAAGUUGCAAUUAUAUUAUGCUAUUUCUCAAGUUCUGGAAGAAACUAAAUAAAGUCUUUUUCAAAGAUAAUUUAAAAAAAAUACGAGAAAGGAAAGAAAGUAAGAAAAAAACGAAAAGAAAAAGCGAAACAAAAAAAAGGAAUAAAAAGGAGUUCAUGAGAAAUAUGUUGUGUGUCAGAAUGUAACUUGAAUUGAAUAUUAUUAUUCCUAAAGGUUAAGUUUCAUGUAUAUAUGUUUUUGUAAAAAAUUCUUCAACUUAUUCAUAGCCAAAUUCUCUUAUUUCCUACCCAUUACCUAAGCCUCAUUACAACCUUAUUAAGACCCUUCGAUUUUUGCAUUUGAUUCAUUGUUUAGUGGUAGAGAUUUGAUAUAUAAGCAAGCUUAUGGUAAAAUUCUUUCUACGCAUUGACUUGAGAGUUUAUAAUUAUCCUAAAACACCUUGAGUGCAUUGAGAGAAAUCCUUGAGAGGGUGUUAAAGUUUUAUUGCACUUUGAUUUUGAACUUAUUAAGGAAAUUGAUACUCAUUUGUGUUUACUUGAAAAUACUCAUUUGUGGAUUACACUUAUCUCUUGCUAUAUUUUGAUUCGAAAAAGUGAGACGUGAUAAUUUAUAUCAUGAAUGAAUAUGUCAUGAGAGGAGUUGAGAGAAAACUGAGUAUGCUUGAUGAUUUUAAUGAAUACUUGAGGAUAAGUAUUGUUCAAGUGUAGGGUAUUUUGAUAGUGUGCAUUUUAUGCAUACUAAUUAUCAUAUUUUCUUGGAUAUUAUUGAAGUAUUUAUGCUUAAUUAUGGAUUUUAAAUGUGAUUAUUGAUUUUCAUAUUAGAAGAAAUGCUUUGAUGCAACAUGAAGCUGAAAGGAUGAUAUUUGAUAAGUUUUCAUAGAGAUUGAUGCUUUGGAGAAUUUUGGAUAAAAUGGAGAAAAGAUGGCAGAAGAUCACUUCAGUUAGAGCGUGCCCACGGCAUAUUCUAGAAAUCUGAAUUUGUGAAAAGAAGCUUAAAGUGAUACUAUUUGCCAUGUGACUUUUUUUAUUUAUUUUUGGGAAUGUUUAUUUACUAAAAACCCCUCACAACUUAAGGUUAUUUUAGAAAUUCUUAGGGACCAAGUUUUCCUAUAAAAAGAAAAAGAUGAAAAGAGACAAAGGGAGUUCUUUUAGGUUUUGGAGAAAAGGGGGCUGCAAACUAGUUUUCUUCCUAUCAUUCAUUGUUUUCCUUAUUUGCUUUAUUUUCUCUACAACAAUUAUGUAUGGCUGAACUCUUUUCUUUCCAACUCAAGGUUAAUUAAAGUUUGAAUUCAUAUGGGUUGUGAGAUUUAAUUGUUCUUCAUUAUUUUCUCAAAUCUAUUAAUAUUCAUGUAUCUUCUAUGUCUAUUAGGAAUUCUAUUAUUGUUGAUUGUGUAAAAAGGCCUAUUACUCAAUUUCAAGAUAGUCUAUGCCAAAUUAAAAUAUUAAAUCCGUAAUUGUUAAAUUAUUCUAAUGAUUAGUAGUAGAAUAAUAUACCCAUGUUAUAUGGAUACAUGAUCUAGUCUAAAUGAAUUCAUCUUAUGUAUUUGUUGGCUAGGGUUGGGUUUCUCUAAAUUGCAUUGCUAGUGGUAAAUUAAAUCUUGGAAGCUUUUCUAGGGUUGUUUAUUUAAUAAGAGAAUUAAUCAAAUGGUUUCCAUUGAUUAACGAAAAAUUAAGGAGAAAUUAGGUUGUUAGAGCUUCUCAACAACUAUAACCAAUUUAUUAAUGGAUUUGGAAAUUAUAUUUGCAUCAAUGAUCAAUUCAAUGAAUUAAAACUGAGAUUAUACCUUAGGUUGGAGUUUUCUCAUAUCGAUUUAUCUUCUCAAAUUUUAUUAUUGGUUCUAAUUAAUUUUUAGUUUAAUUUGUUUUGAUUCCAAAUUUAAAACCCCUAAUUUUAUUUGAAUUUUGUUAAAGAAAUAAAUGUUGUCAAUCUCUGUGGAUUCGACCCUACUUGUCACUAUUUACAAGUUGUUUUUAUUUGAAGAGUAGUGUCACGACCCCACCCGUGGGCCCGUGACCGGCACUAGGGAAUGGGUAGGCUUAAGGCCACCGAAACCCGUAGUAAGCCUGACACUCACUGAUUUAAACAAACCUAAUCUCAAAUUAAUAUUAUUAAAACCACAAAUUAUCUUAAUAGCUCUGCUCCGGUGCCUCGGUUGGAGCGAGCCGAACAGACAGAUCAUCUAAUCACGGAAAAUAAUUUAUCAAUACACUGAGACAAUCGAUCAUUAAUCCUAGGUCUAGAAUCCUAGGACUGACUGUCUAAGAAUCUCGACUCGGGAGAAUUCUACCGAAAAUCCGGCAGAAUCUCCCCCACAACACGAACAUUAACCCCCGUAAAAACGGGUCCAGGACCUGCCAGAAGAACACUUCAAAUACUUAACGAUUCAAACAAUAGCAGUCGGGUCCCCAAACUUCACUAUUUCCCGACUCCGCCACACAGCACAAAAUACGAGGCAGGCAAACUGACAGACAAUUAUUUUUGACUCACAAAUAACAUCAAAUACUCAAUAUAAUCCAAUAGACAUAAAUUUAAAAUCAAGGAUUUCUAAGAUCAACGGCCAGAGAAAAUUACUGAGACGCUCGGUCGACUCGCCUCCGGCCGCCGGAGUCCGAUCAACGCUUUGGACAAACCAUCGGACUCACAACGACGCGCUGACGACGAUCCCCGCUUCCGAUUUUCCGAUCUGACACUCGAUCAUCCGGAGAGAUUUGCGGACGAUCUCGACCGUCGAUUCGCAAAUGAAGCCCGAUCGCCACCAAACUGGUGCCAUCGCGAAGCUUGAGCAGAGGAAAGUCGGGAUACGCCCUCCGAUCAUCCAUCCUCCGCCGGAGCUCGCCGGAAAAGCCCAAAAAUGCGGUUGUCACUCUAAGUUUCACUUUGUCGGAUCUUGCAACUCCGGCCACCCCAGGCGUCGCCACUGCUGCCAGAAGAGAGCCCUCGCCGAGGGGAGCCGAUCGCCACCUAACUCGGCCGCCAACAACCCCGGAAACGGCCGGAAACAUGCCUGGAAGCCGCUGCUGGAGCUGCUGCGCUCGCCAGCGCACGCCGCUCUGUCGGCCAGCGCUCCGCGCCCCCGACGGUUGCCACCGACGCCUGCAGCGUCCCCUUCUCUCUCUUCCCGGCGCCGCACUCUCUCUCUUUCUCCUCCUUUCUUCUUCCCCGAUUUCUUUCCUUUCAAUAUCGACAUUAGGCCCCCAAACUUUUCCUUAUUGCAAUUUGGUCCAUCAACUUUCUUAAUUACUUACAAUUUCAUCAUGUAGAAUUCCAAUUUAACUCCCAAACUUCUUUUUAGCUUUUCAAUUAAGCCCCUAACUAUUUAAUUUGGGCCAAAUCCGAAUUAUUGAAAAUACACAAUUAUAAAAAUACCCCUGACCGACAUAUUUAUUUACGAAAAUACCAAACUCACAAAUUUCCAUUAAACCCUCACAAAAAUAAAAUUAUACUUUUAAUCCUUAUUCCAAAAUAAUCCUCCAAUUAAAUCCUAUACACAAUUAAAUUAAAUAAUCAUUUUACAACUCAAAAUUUAAUACUACUAAUCAAUUAUAAUACCAAUUUUCUCAAAAUUCUUUUAUAAACAUCCUUUACAAUUCUACCAUAAUUUUCCAAUAUAUAAUUUUACUUAUAUAAAUAUGCAUUUGGAAAAAAAAUUUGAAUAACCACAAUAUAAUCAUUUCUCAAAUAGUUUACUUAAUUACUCCUUAAAAAUCAAACUAAUUGGAUAUGGAAAAUAACUCAUUUAUUUAUCUAACAUGAACAUUCAAAAUUUGUAUUUAAAUCAUUCCAAUUAAACCGAAUAAAAAUAAAGCUAAAAUUAAUUUAAAUAAAAACUCAUUAUUAAAUAUAUAAGAAAUUCCGGGUGUUACAUUCUCCCCCCCUUAAAAAAAAUUCGACCUCGAAUUUUAAAAGAAGAAGGGCUACACUCUAAGACUGAAACUAAUUAGGAACCUCUCAUCUCCAACUCGGCUUCUUGGAAACUUUUCCUCGGCAGAAACUAAACUAAACCACAAGACUCAUCGACAAAACCCUUAAACAAAACUGGCGAAACUGAAAAUCCGCGAUCCUCACUUACUACUCCUCGGAAACCAAAUCUUCACUUGCUUCCACACACUAAGGGUCCAACACGAGCAAAGGAUCGAAAAUAUACUUCCUCAACUCAGACCUACGAACAACUGAAUUUAACCUCACAGAACAUUACUAAUACUUGGCGGCAAGUCCAACUUACAUGCCACCUCACCAACCUGCCGACAAAACCAAGGGUUUCCACACAAGAAGGGCCAAUUCUGAUCCUGCCAAAAAUCCACUCACCAAAUUUCCUUCCUGAUGACGUGCCUCUUGCACGUACAGAAAAAUCCUUAACAUCUACAUCACAUCAUCCUCGAUAUAACAUCCAUCUGAUCGCAUCAACCGAUAUAAACCAUGCCAUCCUGACACAAGAUUUCUCCUUGACUGAAAUCCAGAAGCCUCCUUUAUUAUUUAACAUGGGGCCUGCAGCUCCAUAGACUUACUCUCUCAGCAACUCAGCUCGUCAUCUAGAGAAUUCUCAAGCUAACACUAUUUACUUUAAAAAAUUACAUCUUUACUUACUUUAUAAUCAUCACUGAUAAAGCUUUAUCAUCUUGGAAGAACACUUUUGUAAAAUCAUAAAAUCUCCAGCCAUUUCUCCUUAUAUAAAAUUCUACAAUAUCGCGCACCAGGGUGAUGAUGCCCCUAUCACCAAGGGUUGCAAUGCACAAUGUAUGAUGCAUGCCUUAAAAUGAAUUUAUGUAUGCCUAACAGUGAAAUGCCAUAUGCAUUCUUACUGGACUGGGCGCAAUAUUGUAUUUUAAAACACUUGUUCUACUUAGAAAAAUAAACAAUGUUCGCUUAAGUUUCUCUGGAUUUCUGAGAAUCCGAAAACACUCCUGCCACCUUUCUUAAGCUUCUUACAACCACAAAACUCAACCAUAAUAGCUGACAUCCGCUCGACUUCCCAGGCACUACCUUCGGCGCUACUCAAAAAGACGAUGCCUGAUGCGAUGACGAGGCAGCUCAUGACACGACUGCAACCACGCUCUACACUAAAACUGACUGCGGUGCCCACCAUCGAAACCACAAUCAAAGCUUCUAAAGGCGGACUGCACUAAUCACUUGAAGAAACAUCACGAGUCUAUCGCGCUUCGGAUCCUCCCAUCGCUACAAAGCACAUUCUCAGUACAACACCAAGGACAAGCUCACAAGAAAGGAAAGACUGACUCUCUAACAGUGAAGGCUGAGACACUGGAGUCAAUGAAAACAACAAGACAAACUUGAUCCUAACUCCGCAGUACCAAGAAAAAUCUCAACUUAGGUCGAAGGAAAUCUAAACCUAAGCUCUGAUACCAACUUUGUCACGACCCCACCCGUGGGCCUGUGACCGGCACUAGGGAAUGGGUAGGCUUAAGGCCACCGAAACCCGUAGUAAGCCUGACACUCACUGAUUUAAACAAACCUAAUCUCAAAUUAAUAUUAUUAAAACCACAAAUUAUCUUAAUAGCUACAUUCUACAUAAAUACUUCGGUCUGCCAGAAAAACUAGGCGAGACCGGAAAUUACAGAAAAUUUACAACUGAUACAUUUACUAUUACUACUGCGGAGAAUCUAAGAUUUAUCAAUUUACAUACCAAAUCAAAUACAUCACCCGAUGAUGAAGGAGUCGGGUUACUGAAUAAGAGUCGCAGGAGAACUAACAGUCACGAAUCUGAAAAACAGUAAAAAUGAGACUGUCAGUCUCGAGAGUGAGUUAAAAUCAAAUAAUCUAGGGACUAUUGCUUCUUCUCAGAAAACAUAGAUUAUUCAAAUCAGUAUAUCAAAUCAUACUAUAAUCAUACCCUACUAUUUCCUUCACAUAAAAUAUUAAUCAUUCGAAUUAAAAUAUCAACCAUGCACGUAAAUACAAAUCACAUUAUAAUCAAAUACCAUAAUAAAUAAAUAAAUAAAAAUAUAUAUUUACUUUUACGGGACGAGUGGCUCGGUAGAACCCUAAACCCCAAAAUCUAGUAGCCAUUCGGCUCUCUUAAUCCAAUAAGACUGGCGCCCCGAGAGCAAUGCUCGACCAGGGACAUUACCUCCAGUCUGGUCACUUAAGUAUCCAAAUAAGAAAUCUAGUAGCCAUUCGGUUCUCUUAAUCCAAUAAGACUGGCGCCCCGAGAGCAAUGCUCGACCAGGGACCUUACCUCCAGUCUGGUCACUUAAGUAUCCAAAUAAGCCGGCGCCCCGAGAGCAAUGCUCGACCAGGGACCUUACCUCCGGCAAUUUACACAAAUCAGCCCAGAGAGCCAUGCUCGACCAGGCAAACCCAUAAAUAUCUUAUUACAUGUCCAUGAUCAUUACCGGUGUGCACACAGUCCUGAUGUAACCCAUCAGGCGGCAUGUUCUACAAGCCACAUUUCCCAAUUCGCAAUCAUCACAUAUAAUAAAUAUCAUUAUCUGAUGAACUCAUCCAACACAUAUCGAAAUAAAGAUUAAAGAUUUAAGAUAAAACAACGUGCAAUUUGUGAGGGGAAAAAUAAUAACAUUUGUCUUAUUAUAACAUACUAAUAAUAAUAUUUAUAUUAUUUCAAAUAUUAAUAAUCAAGUGAAAUCAUUUAUUUUGCGAUACUAAUAAUCAUAUUAAGCACAAAUUCUAAAUAGCAUAUUAAAAUCAGACUAGCAACAGCGCAAACAUUAAAUGACUUUAACUCACAGGAUUGGGCGACCUCCUAGCUCUGCUCCGGUGCCUCGGUUGGAGCGAGCCGAACAGACAGAUCAUCUAAUCACUGAAAAUAAUUUAUCAAUACGCUGAGACAAUCGAUCAUUAAUCCUAGGUCUAGACUCCUAGGACUGACUGUCUAAGAAUCUCGACUCGGGAGAAUUCUACCGAAAAUCCGGCAGAACCUCCCCUACAACACGAACAUUACCCCCCGUAAAAACGGGUCCAGGACCUGCCAGAAGAACACUUCAAAUACUUAACGAUUCAAACAAUAGGAGUUGGGUCCCCAAACUUCACUAUUUCCCGACUCCGCCACACAGCACAAAAUACGAGGCAGGCAAACUGACAGACAAUUAUUUUUGACUCACAAAUAACAUCAAAUACUCAAUAUAAUCCAAUAGACACAAAUUUAAAAUCAAGGAUUUCUAAGAUCAAUGGCCAGAGAAAAUUACCGAGACGCUCGGUCGACUCGCCUCCGGCCUCCGGAGUCCGACCAACGCUCUGGACACACCAUCGGACUCACAACGACGCGCUGACGACGAUCCCCGCUUCCGAUUUUCCGAUCUGACACCCGAUCAUCCGGAGAGAUUUACGGACGAUCUCGACCGUCGAUUUACAAACGAAGCCCGAUCGCCACCAAACCGGUGCCAUCGCGAAGCUUGAGCAGAGGAAAGUCGGGAUACGCCCUCCGAUCAUCCAUCCUCCGCUGGAGCUCGCCGGAAAAGCCCAAAAACGCGGCUGCCACUCUAAGUUUCACUUUGCCGGAUCUUGCAACUCCGGCCACCCUAGGCGUCGCCACUGCUGCCAAAAGAGAGCCCUCGCCGAGAGGAGCCGAUCGCCACCCAACUCGGCCGCCAACAACGCCGAAAACACGCCUGGAAGCCGCUGCCUUCGCGCUCUUCCGCCGCUACUGGAGCUGCUGUUGCCGCCGCCGCUGCGCUCGCCAGCGCACGCCGCUCCGUUGGCCAGCACUCCGCGCCCCCGACGGUUGCCACCGACGCCUGCAGCGUCCCCUUCUCUCUCUUCCCGGCGCCGCACUCUCUCUCUCUCUCCUCCUUUCUUCUUCUCCGAUUUCUUUCCUUUCAAUAUCGACAUUAGGCCCCCAAACUUUUCCUUAUUGCAAUUUGGUCCCUCAACUUUCUUAAUUACUUACAAUUUCAUCCUGCAGAAUUCCAAUUUAACCCUCAAACUUCUUUUUAGCCUUUCAAUUAAGCCCCUAACUAUUUAAUUUGGGCCAAAUCCGAAUUAUUGAAAAUACACAAUUACAAAAAUACCCUUGACCGACAUAUUUAUUUACGAAAAUACCAAACUCACAAAUUUCCAUUAAACCCUCACAAAAAUAAAAUUAUACUUUUAAUCCUUAUUCCAAAAUAAUCCUCCAAUUAAAUCCUAUACACAAUUAAAUUAAAUAAUCAAUUUCCAACUCAAAAUUUAAUACUACUAAUCAAUUAUAAUACCAAUUUUCUCAAAAUUCUUUUAUAAACAUCCUUUACAAUUCUACCAUAAUUUUUCAAUAUAUAAUUUUACUUAUAUAAAUAUGCAUUUGGAAAAAAAAUUUGAAUAACCAAAAUAUAAUCAUUUCUCAAAUAGUUUACUUAAUUACUCCUUAAAAAUCAAACUAAUUGGAUAUGGAAAAUAAUUCAUUUAUUUAUCUAACAUGAACAUUCAAAAUUUGUAUUUAAAUCAUUCCAAUUAAACCGAAUAAAAAUAAAGCUAAAAUUAAUUUAAAUAAAAACUCAUUAUUAAAUAUAUAAAAAAUUCCAGGUGUUACAAGUAGGAGUUCAUUUUUGUUGGAUUCGACACCCACCAACGGUGCUAUUCUCCGACUCUUUUACCUCUUGGGGCCCAAUGAUCAAUUUUUGUACUGAAGAGGAUAUUCUGAUUUUGAAGACAAGAGGACUGACCAAGGCUCCAUUUUAGCAAUUCUUUCUAGUUGGGUCCAUCUAUUUAUUUUGAAAAAGAAUAAUUCAAAAACAACAAGUACCCUAAUAAUAAUUUAAGAAGAACAAUAGAUAGGAUGAAAGAUUAAAGGACAAAGCAGCUAAAAGGGUAGGAAAAUACUUAAUGCAAGAAAGAGAGAAGUUUUCUUUUGUGGAAAGGAGGUUUUGAGUAAAGUCAACUAAAUUGAGAGAAAUGACUACAAAAAAUCAAAGAAAGCGACACUUAGGAAAGAUAAGAUAUGUGUGAAAACACUGUUUUCAUAUGUAUAGAUAGAUAUAUAGAUAUAAAUAUAAAAAGAUAAUGAUUUAAGAACUUAUUAGUGAUGUCUCUAAUGAGAAAAUUAAUAAUUAAUAUUGCCUAUUAUAUGGACUUGUUUUAUUUAUUUUUUUUAUUAAUAAGCUAAUAUAUCAUAAAUAUUUAAUUUUUAAUGCAUUUAAAUCUAACUGAUGCUUCAUCAACUAUAUUACAUAAAAAAUGGAUUCUUUUGCUAAUUAAUGGAUUAAUUUUAUAAUUAUAUGAUAGGUUUAAUCAUAAAAAAAUAGCAUAUUAAUUAUAUCUUUAGUAUUGACUUUAUAUAUGUAUAAUUGAUUUUUUUUUUUGACAAAAUCCUCAUAUUUUGUUACAUUUCUUACAUCUUAAAAUAUGAAAAUUUAUUAAGAAUUAGUAUUUUAAGUUGUUCUUAUUUUAUAAAAUAUGAUAAAU